UUUUAGCCCCGAUAGCAGCGGCAUCCUUUUUCUGGUUUCGUCUCGUCCCAAAAGACGAGACGAAACCAGAAAAAGAUAUAGCGUAUAGCGGGAAAUAGC
rnacentral:sRNA from 1 species